rnacentral:rRNA from 1 species
UACGAAGGGGGCUAGCGUUGUUCGGAAUUACUGGGCGUAAAGCGCGUGUAGGCGGGUCUUUUAAGUCAGGGGUGAAAUAGCCAAGGCUCAACCUUGGAACUGCCUUUGAUACUGGAGACCUUGAGUCCGGGAGAGGUGAGUGGAAUUGCGAGUGUAGAGGUGAAAUUCGUAGAUAUUCGCAAGAACACCAGUGGCGAAGGCGGCUCACUGGCCCGGAACUCGACGCUGAGACGCGAAAGCGUGGGGAGCAAACAGG